UUAAGCGACUAAGCGUACACGGUGGAUGCCCUGGCAGUCAGAGGCGAUGAAGGACGUGCUAAUCUGCGAAAAGCGUCGGUAAGGUGAUAUGAACCGUUAUAACCGGCGAUGUCCGAAUGGGGAAACCCAGUGCAAUUCGUUGCACUAUCGUUAACUGAAUACAUAGGUUAACGAGGCGAACCGGGGGAACUGAAACAUCUAAGUACCCCGAGGAAAAGAAAUCAACCGAGAUUCCCCCAGUAGCGGCGAGCGAACGGGGAGCAGCCCAGAGUCUGAAUCAGCUUGUGUGUUAGUGGAACGGUCUGGAAAGUCCGACGGUACAGGGUGAUAGUCCCGUACACCAAAAUGCACAGGUUGUGAACUCGAAGAGUAGGGCGGGACACGUGGUAUCCUGUCUGAAUAUGGGGGGACCAUCCUCCAAGGCUAAAUACUCCUGACUGACCGAUAGUGAACCAGUACCGUGAGGGAAAGGCGAAAAGAACCCCGGCGAGGGGAGUGAAAAAGAACCUGAAACCGUGUACGUACAAGCAGUGGGAGCACCUUCGGGUGUGACUGCGUACCUUUUGUAUAAUGGGUCAGCGACUUAUAUUCUGUAGCAAGGUUAACCGUAUAGGGGAGCCGCAGGGAAACCGAGUCUUAACUGGGCGUUAAGUUGCAGGGUAUAGACCCGAAACCCGGUGAUCUAGCCAUGGGCAGGUUGAAGGUUGGGUAACACUAACUGGAGGACCGAACCGACUAAUGUUGAAAAAUUAGCGGAUGACUUGUGGCUGGGGGUGAAAGGCCAAUCAAACCGGGAGAUAGCUGGUUCUCCCCGAAAGCUAUUUAGGUAGCGCCUCGUGAAUUCAUCUUCGGGGGUAGAGCACUGUUUCGGCUAGGGGGUCAUCCCGACUUACCAACCCGAUGCAAACUACGAAUACCGAAGAAUGUUAUCACGGGAGACACACGGCGGGUGCUAACGUCCGUCGUGAAGAGGGAAACAACCCAGACCGCCAGCUAAGGUCCCAAAGUCAUGGUUAAGUGGGAAACGAUGUGGGAAGGCACAGACAGCCAGGAUGUUGGCUUAGAAGCAGCCAUCAUUUAAAGAAAGCGUAAUAGCUCACUGGUCGAGUCGGCCUGCGCGGAAGAUGUAACGGGGCUAAACCAUGCACCGAAGCUGCGGCAGCGACACUAUGUGUUGUUGGGUAGGGGAGCGUUCUGUAAGCCUGCGAAGGUGACCUGUGAGGGUUGCUGGAGGUAUCAGAAGUGCGAAUGCUGACAUAAGUAACGAUAAAGCGGGUGAAAAGCCCGCUCGCCGGAAGACCAAGGGUUCCUGUCCAACGUUAAUCGGGGCAGGGUGAGUCGACCCCUAAGGCGAGGCCGAAAGGCGUAGUCGAUGGGAAACAGGUUAAUAUUCCUGUACUUGGUGUUACUGCGAAGGGGGGACGGAGAAGGCUAUGUUAGCCGGGCGACGGUUGUCCCGGUUUAAGCAUGUAGGCUGGUUAUCCAGGCAAAUCCGGAUAAUCAAGGCUGAGGUGUGAUGACGAGGCACUACGGUGCUGAAGUAACAAAUGCCCUGCUUCCAGGAAAAGCCUCUAAGCAUCAGGUAACAUCAAAUCGUACCCCAAACCGACACAGGUGGUCAGGUAGAGAAUACCAAGGCGCUUGAGAGAACUCGGGUGAAGGAACUAGGCAAAAUGGUGCCGUAACUUCGGGAGAAGGCACGCUGGUGUGUAGGUGAAGCCCCUGCGGGUGGAGCUGAGACCAGUCGAAGAUACCAGCUGGCUGCAACUGUUUAUUAAAAACACAGCACUGUGCAAACACGAAAGUGGACGUAUACGGUGUGACGCCUGCCCGGUGCCGGAAGGUUAAUUGAUGGGGUUAUCCGUAAGGAGAAGCUCUUGAUCGAAGCCCCGGUAAACGGCGGCCGUAACUAUAACGGUCCUAAGGUAGCGAAAUUCCUUGUCGGGUAAGUUCCGACCUGCACGAAUGGCGUAAUGAUGGCCAGGCUGUCUCCACCCGAGACUCAGUGAAAUUGAACUCGCUGUGAAGAUGCAGUGUACCCGCGGCAAGACGGAAAGACCCCGUGAACCUUUACUAUAGCUUGACACUGAACAUUGAGCCUUGAUGUGUAGGAUAGGUGGGAGGCUUUGAAGCGUGGACGCCAGUCUGCGUGGAGCCAACCUUGAAAUACCACCCUUUAAUGUUUGAUGUUCUAACGUUGGCCCCUUACCGGGGUUGCGGACAGUGUCUGGUGGGUAGUUUGACUGGGGCGGUCUCCUCCCAAAGCGUAACGGAGGAGCACGAAGGUUAGCUAAUCCUGGUCGGACAUCAGGAGGUUAGUGCAAUGGCAUAAGCUAGCUUGACUGCGAGCGUGACGGCGCGAGCAGGUGCGAAAGCAGGUCAUAGUGAUCCGGUGGUUCUGAAUGGAAGGGCCAUCGCUCAACGGAUAAAAGGUACUCCGGGGAUAACAGGCUGAUACCGCCCAAGAGUUCAUAUCGACGGCGGUGUUUGGCACCUCGAUGUCGGCUCAUCACAUCCUGGGGCUGAAGUAGGUCCCAAGGGUAUGGCUGUUCGCCAUUUAAAGUGGUACGCGAGCUGGGUUUAGAACGUCGUGAGACAGUUCGGUCCCUAUCUGCCGUGGGCGCUGGAGAAUUGAGGGGGGCUGCUCCUAGUACGAGAGGACCGGAGUGGACGCAUCACUGGUGUUCGGGUUGUCAUGCCAAUGGCACUGCCCGGUAGCUAAAUGCGGAAGAGAUAAGUGCUGAAAGCAUCUAAGCACGAAACUUGCCCCGAGAUGAGUUCUCCCUGAGACUUUAAGUCUCCUGAAGGAACGUUGAAGACGACGACGUUGAUAGGCCGGGUGUGUAAGCGCAGCGAUGCGUUGAGCUAACCGGUACUAAUGAACCGUGAGGCUUAACCU
rnacentral:rRNA from 1 species